CAAUAGCGUAUAUUAAAGUUGUUGCAGUUAAAAAGCUCGUAGUUGGAUUUGUGGCGUACGGUGUGUUCCGGGCACUUGUUGUCUGAGUAACCUGCUGUUGCCAUCCUUGGGUGGAACCUGUGUGGCAUUAGGUUGUCGUGCAGGGGAUGCCCAUCAUUUACUGUGAAAAAAUUAGAGUGUUCAAAGCAGGCUUAUGCCGUUGAAUAUAUUAGCAUGGAAUAAUGAGAUAGGACUUUUUUGCUAUUUUGUUGGUUUGCGCAAAGAGGUAAUGAUUAAUAGGGACAGUUGGGGGUAUUCGUAUUCCAUUGUCAGAGGUGAAAUUCUUGGAUUUUUGGAAGACGAACUACUGCGAAAGCAUUUACCAAGGAUGUUUUCACUAA
rnacentral:rRNA from 1 species